rnacentral:rRNA from 1 species
ACCUGCUAAAUAGCCAGGCCGGCUUUUGGUGGUCGCCGGCUUUUUAGAGGGACUGUCAGCGUCUAGCCGACGGAAGUUUGAGGCAAUAACAGGUUUGUGAUGCCCUUAGAUGUUUUGGGCCGCACGCGCGCUACACUGACAGAGCCAGCGAGUUCUUUUCCUUGGCCGGAAGGUCUGGGUAAUCUUGUGAAACUCUGUCGUGCUGGGGAUAGAGCAUUGCAAUUAUUGCUCUUCAACGAGGAAUUCCUAGUAAGCGUGAAGUCAUCAGCUCGCGUUGAUUUACGUCCCCUGCCC